rnacentral:rRNA from 1 species
GAUGAACGCUGGCGGCGUGCCUAACACAUGCAAGUCGAGCGAACAGAUGCGUAGCUUGCUCCUCUGACGUUUGCGUCGGAAGGGUGAGUAACACGCGGAUAACCCACCUAUCAGACUUGGAUAACUUCGGAAGACCGGGGCUCAUACCCGAUAAUAUAUUUAACCGCAUGGUUCAAUAGUUAAGAACGGUUUUGCUGUCACUGUUAGAUGUGUCGGCGCCGCAUUAGCUAGUUGGUAUGGUAGCGGCUUACCAAGCCAACGAUGGGUAGCCGAACUGAGCGGGUGAUUGGCAACACUGGAACUGAGACAAGGACCAGACUCCUAAGGGAGGGAGCAGUAGGGAAUGUUACGAGAUGGGCGAAAGCCUGACGGAGGAACGGCGCGUGAGUGAUGAAGGUCGUCGGAUCGUGAAACUAUGUUAUUAGGGAAGAACAAAAGUGUAAGUAACUAUGCACGUCUUGACGGUAACUAAUCAGAAAGCCCCGGCUAACUACGUG